CAAUAGCGUAUAUUAAAGUUGUUGCAGUUAAAAAGCUCGUAGUUGGAUUUCUGGUAGGAGUGACCGUUCCGAACUUGAUUGUUCGUGUAUUGUGUUUUCUCCAGCCAUCCUUGUGGAGAACUUUUCUUGCAUUAAUUUGUAGGGAUUGGGACCCGCAUCGUUUACUGUGAAAAAAUUAGAGUGUUUAAAGCAGGCAAUCGCUUGAAUACAUUAGCAUGGAAUAAUAAGAUAGGACUUUGGUACUAUUUUGUUGGUUUGCAUACCAAAUUAAUGAUCAACAGGAAAAGUUUGAGGAUAUUCGUAUGAACAUGUCAGAGGUGAAAUUCUUGGAUUUUGAUCAGACGAACUACUGCGAAAGCAUUUAUCAAGGAUGUUUUCAUUAA
rnacentral:rRNA from 1 species